rnacentral:pre_miRNA from 1 species
UCUUAUGGGUGCACAAAGAAAGUAGUUUAUUGAGAUGUAAUCUACUCUUGGUGAGGAUGCUGUGGA